CACUGCCAGCGGGAAAACGUAGGAAUGAGGUCGGGCAGUUCCCAAGGUCCCCCUCCACCGCCCACCUCCGAGCACCCUAGGGGCAAUCUGUGCCCAGCGAGCGAAGGCCACAGCGAGGCAGUUCCUCGCCGUUACUUUAAAACAAAGUGUCUCUUUCCUGUGUUGGGAUGUGAAGGAAAAACAGGUAAAAUAAGAUACCAGCGGUCAGGACUCAGCACGUAAAAUUGCCGCUUCUAUUUAUCCCGUCUUGCUUGCAUCUCCGCUAUCGGCCUGCCUGUCUUUCUCUUUUUAUGAUUUUCUUUGUUUUAUCACACGGGGAGUGUGCGAAUGCAUUUCCAUUGUAAGAGGCUGAAACAAUGCAGGAGCUUACAAAGUAAACUGUGAACACCUUAUUGCAACUCCCCUCCCCCACUGCACUUCCCUCCUCCCGGGUAAAACCACUGCCUGCCGUUUGCAACAAAUCUCCUGAGUUUCAGAGGGCUGAGACACAUGACGACAGGCUGGGCUUCAGUUCCCUCGCCUGGAGAGUGACGAGGACACCAGCACAGAACUCCAGGGCUGCUGGGAAGAUGGAAUUGAAAUAGUACAUGUAAUGGGUCGCACCUAUAGUGCCUGGACGGAACAAUUGCU